rnacentral:rRNA from 1 species
GCGGUGGAGCAUGUGGUUUAAUUCGAUGAUACGCGAGGAACCUUACCUGGGCUCAAAUGUAUGUUGACGUAUUCUGAAAGGGAUACUUCUUCGGACAAUAUACAAGGUGCUGCAUGGUUGUCGUCAGCUCGUGCCGUGAGGUGUCGGGUUAAGUCCCAUAACGAGCGCAACCCCUAUCAUUAGUUGCCAUCAGGUCAAGCUGGGGACUCUAAUGAAACUGCCUACGCAAGUAGUGAGGAAGGUGGGGAUGACGUCAAAUCAGCACGGCCCUUACGUCCAGGGCUACACACGUGCUACAAUGGCUGGAACAAAGGGAUGCGAAGCAGUGAUGUGGAGCGAAACCCAUAAAAACAGUCUCAGUUCGGAUUGAAGUCUGCAACUCGACUUCAUGAAGUCGGAAUCGCUAGUAAUCGCGGAUCAGAACGCCGCGGUGAAUACGUUCUCGGGUUU